CAUGCAUACUUUGCGUCCUCACUAAUAGAGAAUUUUGGAGUUAAUGAGCAAAGGUUGAAAUGAAUGUGGAGAGGCUCAUCGAAUCGAUGGAGCCAAGUACAAGUGUGGAGUUCUUGCAAGAUGAAAACAGAGACCUGAAGGUCUUGUUAAGGGCUGCUUUGUCUGAGAAACAAGCUGCAGAGAAGCAGUUGAAAGAGACGAACGAGCAGAAGAGAUCAGCGCUGAUGCAAAUCGCAGGAAGAGGGUUGCAGAGCAUAGGGUUUGGUUUUGGUUUUGGGUUUAAGGAGACAGUACAGGAAAGCUCAGAAACAGGAACUCUCAUCAAGGAUGAACAGGAAGAAGAGGAAGAUGAGAAUAGUAUGGUUGUAGCAAUAGAGAAAACAAUGAAGAAUUUACGUAAAGAGAUCUCUCAGCUCAAGCUCUCAUUGCAGGAAUCAAGGUUAGAAGAAGCGCGGUUGAAGAAAAUUACAGAGGAACAAGCUCAUGCAAUAGAAGAGAACAAGAUGAAUAUCGACAAGCUGAAAAACCGAGAGAGGCUUCUAUCUCAAAACGUAGAAGAGCUAGUGAAGGUAAUAAGAGAAGCUGAAUCAGAAGCAAGUAGAUGGAGAGAAGCUUGUGAGCUUGAAGUUGAAGCAGGACAGCGCGAGGUCGAACAACGCAAUGAACUCAUAGAGCUUUUGAAGGCAGAGGUUGAGAAGAUGAGAUCAGCAUUGUCGAUAUCAGAAGGGAAACUAAAACUGAAAGAAGAAUUGGCUAAAGCCGCAAUGACAGCAGAAGAAGCAGCUGAGAGAUCGCUGCGAUUGUCUGAGAGAAGAAUAGCUGAACUUCACAGCCGCAUUGAACAUCAAUACCGCCAGUUGGAAGAAGCAGAGUCUUCAGAACGCAAACGCAGAAAGGUUAGGUAUCUUUGGUGUUGGCCGUUGUGGCGUUUUCCUGCCGCCGCUGCUGCUUCUGCUGUGACUGGUACUGAGAGUUCUUCAUGUAUAAGCAAUAGAGCAUUAUUACGAUAUGGUGCUUGAUUUAGUAGCGAUUUGCACAAGGUUCUCCUUCAGCUUCUCACGAGACGACCUCUAUCAAAUAGACUAUAAAGUCAAUUAUGUUCACUCACAUCUAAAACUGCUUCUAGUAAUCAUAUAUAUCUAGUAAAAUAUUAAACAACACGAAAACAAAAUUAUACGUAGUGAACACAACUCCUCCGUCUUGCGAGAGUUUACAAAUGAUAAUAUGUAUAGAAUAGAAAACAAAAUUAGUUAGUUAAUUAUACUUUAUUUUUGGUUAAUUUUCCUAAUUAUAUACUAUACCAUUUAAGCAUUAAUAAAAGUAGUUACGAAAAAAGAACUAAUCAAGCAUGCGAUAUGCCUAAUACUAGGCUUGGGCACGGAUCGGAUAUCCGGGUUUUUGAAAGUAUUUGUGAUUUGCUUCGUAUGUCACGGAUAUCUAAUUUUUUAUUUUCUUUACUUUGGAAAAAUACGGAUAUUCGGAAAAAUGGAUAUUCGGAAAAAUAAAUAGAUAUUUGCGGAUAUUUACGAAUACUUACGAUAUCUCAUAUGUUUUGAUUAAAUUAAAAUAAUCUUAAAAUUUUGAUAUAAAUUUAUUUUGUAAAAUAUUUUUUUUGCAUGAUAUCUUAUUAUAUAAAGCUUGGUUUUUCAUCAUUGUGACAUGUGGCAAUUAUAUAUUUGACAUGUGUUAAACUAUAAUAAGAUUAUAACAUGUGUUAAACUAUCUCCGAACUAGAAAAUAUAUAAUUAGAUAAUAACAAAAUUUUUUUUGUAAAAAGUAACUAUAAGUAUUAUUUAAUAAUAGUUUUUCUUUUUUUAAAUCUUAAACAAAUAAUUAUAUGAUAGUGAUUUUCCUUUAAAUAUUGCAACAUUAUUAAAAUCUCUCAUAAAUAACUAAAUAUAUAUAUAUAUAUAUAUAUAUAUAUAUGUGUGUGCUAAGAUAAUACAAACAAAAAUUAUGUAAUUGUAAAAAUUAAUCUCAAAAUUUAUUAAUAGUAGCUAUUUAUAGAUAUUUUCCUUUUUAUAAAUACUAAGCAAAAAAAAAUUGUAAGAUAAUUUAUUUAAUAUUAAUUUUCCUUUUCUAAUAUCCUAGAGAAAAGAUAAUUGUAAAAUAUGAUUUGAUAGUAAUUUUUCUUUUAAAAUUUUGACAUUUAAUAAAAUAUCUCAUGGUAAUAAAAAAAUAUAUAAUAAGAUAAUAAAACGAUUUAAAAAAAAUUAAGUUUAAAAAUUACUUGAUAGUAAUUUUUACUAAUUUUUCUUCUUCUUAAGAAUCCUUAACAAAACGUAUUUGUAAAAGAUUUAUUUAUUUUCUAAAAUACUCAAUAAAAUAUUACUAUAAAAAAAUAUUUGAUAGUAACUUUCUUUUCCUAAAAAUGUAAACAUAGGAAAAAUUGUAAAAUGUGUUUAAUAUUAGUUUUCCUUUCUUCGAAUCCUAAACAAAAUAUUUUUAUAGAAUAACUAAUUCAGUAUUUUAUGAAUAAUCACUUUCCUAAUUAAAUAGUUAAUUUUUCUGUUUGAAAAUCAUAAACUAAAAAUAACUACAAUUAUUCACAUCUACAUUUCUGAUUAAGCUCUCUCAUAUUUUGUCACCAAACAUAAUAAGAGUAGAAGAAAAAUAUUAGGUGAGUUUUUUCACAUGUUUUUUUUCAUAUCUUUGCAUAUUUUUUGGCACUUGCUGACAAAAUAACUAGGUGUUCUAAUCUUCACAAGGUUUGUUUUCUUUCUUAAACUGAUGUUGAUUUUUUUUGUCAUAAUUGUCAUGCUGAUGUACGUUAGUUGUUACCACAAUUAUACUUUGGCGUUUGUUCAUCUGUCUAAAUAGAAGUUAUGCAGUUAAACUAUUGUACAAAAGUUAAAAUGACUAUUAUGCUUAUAUGUGUUUGUUCUUAACGACAAUAUAAAUUUGGUUAUAUUAUGCUGUUGUAGUUAAGUUAUUAUCAAUGUCAAUUUAUUUAUGAAUAUUCGACUUCUCUAUUUAUGUGAGUUUUUCUGCAUGUCCUUUAAUUUCACAUUUAAAUUGAUGUUCAAAUAAUUUACCUAUGUUGCUCUUGCAAAACAAUGCAGAUCCUAUUGAAUGCAUUACAACAAGGAUUAAGGACAAGGAUUUUUCAUUCAAAAAAAAAGGACAAGUAUUAUCUCAUCGAAAAAGCAAUGUUUACUCCAAGGAAUAAAGAAUGAAACGGUUGGUAAAGUGGAUAAUUAUAUGUUAAUUUUUCAUAGACGGUUAGCAAAAAUAAUAUUUGAGUUCUGAUAGUAUUGGUAACAAAGAAGAAGUUGAAAAUUAGCAUAUUCUAUAUCCCACAGGUUUUUAAAUAUGUUAAAAUUUUCAGAGAUUCCAAAUCACGAACUUGAUCUCAAGAUAGAUGUUUCAGUCAUGUUAUUAAGAAAUUUAAAUCAACGAAAAAACUUUUUAAUGGAACAACUUUACUAAUAGCUAGCCUACAAAACAUGAUUACUGAAGCAUAAAUCCUAACAGUGAUCAAUAAUCAACACAUUAUUAUUCCUAAAAUAAGUGUCACACCAACAAAUGCAAGAUAUAUGGCCUCUCAUGGACAAUUGCACGCUUCACUAUCAAAGAGUCACUACAACUACAUGACUUCGAAAUUCUUAAACUAGAAACAAAACAUAUUGGCAGUAGUGUUCUACAAAAUAUUGUAUAUCAAGAAAUUUUCAAUAUAUGAUAUAUAGAAAAGAGGUUAUACUUACACUAUUGAUGCUAUGGUAAACACAUUUGAUGUUUAUCAAGCAAUAUAUUUGAUAUUUAGCUGAAUAUCAAUAAUACAUAUUUAUUGGUGUCGUCUAACAUUAAUUUUGAUUUUUUUUGUUUUUCUUUUUGAAUUGUCUUACACAAUAUAAAUAAUAUAGAUAGUUUCAAAAAUUCUAUAUGUUUCAAUUAGCUACAAUACUAAAAUAAUUUAAAAAGAGCUAUUUAUAGAAAAAUAAAAAAAAUAAUAUACUAUUUUAAAACACCGUGAUUAUUCAAGUAGAAAACUAAUCAACAUUUAUGUAGAAAAAUUGAUUAUUAUACUAAAAUAAGUCUUUUACCAAUAUAUACUGAAAAAUUCAAGAACUAAUGUGAAAAAUAUUUUCAUUCUUUUUAUGUUUUUCGCAAAGCUAAAACAUCAAAUAAAACUCGUGCAAAGCACGAGUCCAUAUCUAGUAUAUGAUAAAAACUAAAAGAAGUAGUGAAUCUACAUAUUUUGUAAAUUUUUUUGAACUUAGUUAACAAUUAUAAUAACACAAAACUUAAAAAAAAAUAUAAUUGUCAUAAAUGUGUUCUUUUCCUUUUAUGUAAUACUUUUGUAUAAGUAAUAAUGUGAACAGAAUUCAUCAAAUCAUAUGUUAGAAUAAUAAUUUUAUAGUUUUAUACAUUAAAAUCUUUAAAUAUAAUUAAGAUAUUUGCUUCCCAAAAUUUUAAUAUUUGUGAUUUGUUUCGAUAUUAAUGGAUAUUGAUUUUUAGUAUUUGUUUUGCUUCGAAAGUUUACGGAUAUUCGUAACUUUCGGAUUAAAUUAAAGCGAAUAACGAAUCAAAUUUAACGGAUAAAAUGCUUGGACCUACCUAAUACGGUGCCGGUCUACAAACAAAAGGCCGUCGUUUCAGACGAAUAAGAAAGCUCUUCGAUUAUUGGGCCUCCCACAGUAUAAGAACCCUGCAACAUGCCAACGGUGCCGUUCGGUAGUGAAUAGUAUAGAGAGUCUUGGCUCGUUGUUUCGGCAGACAGAAUACAAGUCUUCGAACAAAGACGACGAUGGAAGAAGAGAAGAGAGAAGAAAAUGUUAGGGUGAAGAAGAUCGCUUCAUCGUGCGACGUAGAGGCGCUGAAGAAAUGCUUGGAAGAAAACAAAGGAGAUCACUCCAAGUGUCAGUCUCAGGUUGAAGCCUUCAGAUCCUCUUGCGCUCUUCCUCAACCCAAGACUAAACCCUAAUUUUCAAAUUCCGACACUAGGCUGCCAAAGAGAAAGAGAUCUUCUUCUUCUGUAAUAAACUCAGACCAAUCUGGUCUGUACGAUAAUGAUUACUCGUCUCUCUCAAAGAGACUUUCGAUAAGCUCGUCCCAACUAACACCACGGUUCCUUCUUCUCUUGUACGAUUGACGAACAGAGGAUGAUGAUGAUGAUGAUUCACCCACCUUUGA